UGGGGAAUAUUGCACAAUGGGCGCAAGCCUGAUGCAGCCAUGCCGCGUGUGUGAAGAAGGCCUUCGGGUUGUAAAGCACUUUCAGCGGGGAGGAAGGCGAUAAGGUUAAUAACCUCAUCGAUUGACGUUACCCGCAGAAGCAGCACCGGCUAACUCCGUGCCAGCAGCCGCGGUAAUACGGAGGGUGCAAGCGUUAAUCGGAAUUACUGGGCGUAAAGCGCACGCAGGCGGUCUGUCAAGUCGGAUGUGAAAUCCCCAGGCUCAACCUGGGAACUGCAGUAGAAACUGGGAGGCUGGAGUCUUGUAGAGGAGGGUAGAAUUCGAGGUGUAGCGGUGAAAUGCGUAGAGAUCUGGAGGAAUCCCGGUGGCGAAGGCGGCCCACUGGACAGAAACUGAAGCUCAGGUGCGAAAGCGUGGGGAGCAAACAGG
rnacentral:rRNA from 1 species